rnacentral:rRNA from 1 species
GACUCUCGGCAACGGAUAUCUCGGCUCUCGCAUCGAUGAAGAACGUAGCAAAAUGCGAUACUUGGUGUGAAUUGCAGAAUCCCGUGAACCAUUGAAUGUUUGAACGCAAGUUGCGCCCGAAGCCAUCCGGCCGAGGGCACGCCUGCCUGGGCGUCACGCAUCG